rnacentral:ncRNA from 2 species
ACAAUUUCAAAGGGAGACAGAGCUUUUGCUCGUGUGGAGAAUCCGGUGCAAAUCCGGAACUGUUUGACAGCCGUAAGGGGUGACCCGAGUCGGAUACCGCCUGUUUUCAAUGUACAUGC